rnacentral:rRNA from 1 species
AGAGUUUGAUCCUGGCUCAGGAUGAACGCUAGCUACAGGCUUAACACAUGCAAGUCGAGGGGCAGCAUGUUGGUUGCUUGCAACCAAUGAUGGCGACCGGCGCACGGGUGAGUAACGCGUAUCCAACCUACCCUUGUCCAUCGGAUAACCCGUCGAAAGGCGGCCUAACACGAUAUGCGGUUCACAGCAGGCAUCUAACGUGAACGAAAUGUGAAGGAGAAGGAUGGGGAUGCGUCUGAUUAGCUUGUUGGCGGGGUAACGGCCCACCAAGGCUACGAUCAGUAGGGGUUCUGAGAGGAAGGUCCCCCACAUUGGAACUGAGACACGGUCCAAACUCCUACGGGAGGCAGCAGUGAGGAAUAUUGGUCAAUGGACGAGAGUCUGAACCAGCCAAGUAGCGUGCAGGAUGACGGCCCUAUGGGUUGUAAACUGCUUUUAUAAGGGAAUAAAGUGAGUCUCGUGAGACUUUUUGCAUGUACCUUAUGAAUAAGGACCGGCUAAUUCCGUGCCAGCAGCCGCGGUAAUACGGAAGGUCCAGGCGUUAUCCGGAUUUAUUGGGUUUAAAGGGAGCGUAGGCCGUUUGGUAAGCGUGUUGUGAAAUGUCGGGGCUCAACCUGGGCAUUGCAGCGCGAACUGUCAGACUUGAGUGCGCAGGAAGUAGGCGGAAUUCGUCGUGUAGCGGUGAAAUGCUUAGAUAUGACGAAGAACUCCGAUUGCGAAGGCAGCCUGCUGUAGCGCAACUGACGCUGAAGCUCGAAAGCGUGGGUAUCGAACAGGAUUAGAUACCCUGGUAGUCCACGCGGUAAACGAUGGAUGCUCGCUGUUUGCGUCUGACGUAAGCGGCCAAGCGAAAGCGUUAAGCAUCCCACCUGGGGAGUACGCCGGCAACGGUGAAACUCAAAGGAAUUGACGGGGGCCCG